rfam:Gossypium arboreum cultivar AKA8401 contig_49719_1, whole genome shotgun sequence.
UGUUAAAAAAUUCAUCCAUUUCUACUGUUAGAAAUCAGUGUAGCUGUCAUAAUAACAAAAUAGUCACACGUAACGUGUCACGUGUACCUCAUGUUGACAUAUAGAGACCAAUUCUUAAUAGUAAAAAUAGAUGAAAUUUUUAACA